ensembl:lncRNA
GUAGUGGUUAGCACUUUCGCCUUGCAGCGAGAAGAUCCCUGGUUCGCGUCCCUGCUUUCCCGGGAUCUUUCUGCAUGGAGUUUGCAUGUUCUCCCUGUGCAUGUGUGGGUUUUCUCCGGGUACUCCGGCUUCCUCCCACAGUCCAAAAAUAUGCUGAGGUUAAUUGAUCAUUCUAAAUUGCCCGUAGGUGUGAAUGUGAGAGUGAUUGUUUGUCUUUGUAUGUAGCCCUGUGACAGACUGGUGACCUGUCUAGGGUGUCCCCUGCCUUCACCUGAGUCAGCUGGGAUAAACUCUAUCAUCUUGUUGUUUUUCUGCUCGUGGUACUGUUCUUCUUUGUUAGGUUUAACAUUAUCUGCGUUGAGCAAAAGGGUGACCUUAAGUUUAGUACAUCCUAUUCACUGCUGUCACACCCACCCUGCAAAAUUAGAACUGUUAUAUGAUGGCGUGAGAAGACACUGCUUCACCUUAUCCGGUUUUUACUUUUAAUGGCCAGGCCUUUUCAAUUGGAUGAAAGCGUCACCCGUACAUGUGAAACGAUGUUUUCAGAUAGAUGUAUCCUUUUUCUCCCUCAGCUCCUUAGAGCUCAGAAACCUGAAGCUAAACAUGAGAUUUAGCAUGAACAUUGUGCACAGUGAGAACACAGGGAGUGGCCUUUAUCUGAGGAGAACAAAAGAUGGAGUUGGGUCUGGUUCAUCGCCGGUGGCUUUGCAGAUAGUAUAUACUGUGUUACAUCUGUUUUCCAAGUCAGAGAUGAUAGUUGGAUUCGAGAUGAGAGUGCUAGUAGCAUUUCUCCUGGCGGCACUGAGCUGCAGUCCGGCUGGAGCUCGAACUGUGUCGAAAUGUGAACUGAGGAGUCGACUGAUGCAAACACUGGCCAACCUGCCGGAGAAGGCAAAGCAGUCAGGACUGACUGAAGAGAAGAUUGCGGCCAAGAUCGUCCGGUAUGCAGAGCGGGUGUCACAUUUUAACACCAAUGAGGUACAUGAGCUGGGAGACCUUCACAGUCGGGAGAAGAGGGAUGUUCCCAGUAGAGGCUUGUUCAGCAUGGCUGAGGAUGACCGCCGUUUGAGGACUGCCCAGCCCCACACCAGAGAACAACAACAUGCAAGGCCACCUCCAUCACAGAAUCACACCACAUCCCACCCCCACAUUCCAUGGAGUGAGGAGGGGGACAAUGACGUCUGUAAGCUCUAUGGCCUUUUCCAGCUCUGCAGUCACCUGGUCUGCAGCGACGGCUCGACUCCAUCACACAACAUCUGUGAGAUGGACUGCAUCAAAUUGGUUGAUGAUGACAUUUCUGAUGAUGUGUGGUGCCUGCUGAAGAUCUUCACCAAUCUAGUAGAAAACGGCUUCAGUGCACCCAACUUUAAGGAGUCAGGACGAGUGAUCAGACUCAUUUUGCAGGAGGAGCACAAAGAUAAGACAACCUCCAAUUACUUUGCAGAUUGCUCAUGAAAAAGUAAUUUUGUGCCUUAUCUGUCUUAUCUGUCAUUGGAACGAUGAUUCUCCUGUCUAAUGAGCUGGUGUUUAUGACAAUAACAUAAUAAAACAUGUUUUACCAAAUGUUAAAGUGAUUGUUUGUACAGUCAGUUGGUCUUUCAGUCUUUUGGAAAUGAAACAUGAAUGAAUAACAUAUUACAGGUAAAUACAGGUCCCACGGUAGGAACUGACUGCAACAAGUCAGCACACCUUUUAUUGAUGACUUUCAAAAAUACUUCAUAUACCCACCUUUAUUUUUGAAGGCAGACUCAGCCCUCGACAUUAUGGAGGGUACCAUAUUUCUGCAGAGAUGUUUUUGCCACCCUUUUUUUUUCAGCUUCUCUUUGCUGGAGAGGUUUUGCUGCACAGCUUUCUUUAUUAAAACCUGUCCUGUUGGUUUCCAGUCAGAUGGCAUACACAACACAGUUUUCAGUACCUCCUGCUGUAGACAAAGGGUUUUGUAUGCAUUACACAACAGCUUACAUGUGAGUUGCUAUAGAACUGAAAAUGAUGUUGAUGCAUUUGAUCCAGUAAAACAAAGCCUGACACCUGAAGCAGGUCAGUCUGAAACAAUGGGAAGCCAAAACAUUAUGUAACACGAACACUGGCUUUAUUGAAAGGAUCAUCUAACUUUGAGCAUGUUACUGUAGUGACAACAUGUGAAGAAAUGAUUUGAUUGUAUGGCUAGAUCACCACCACUGUACUAUACACACGAUGAUUUCUGUAAUUACAGUCACAGAUAUAAGGGACAGUAGUGGAUGUGUGGUAGGUAAGUACUGAAUAUUUCAUGUCAUAAUAAACCAAUAGUCUCCUCAACUUUAUUAACAUUUUGCUCAGUUCUUCCCUUGCAACAUCUUCUCACUAUCUAUUCCAGUGUCUCAAAGCUAUGUAUUUUCUAUCAUGUAUCACUACUGACAAGUUUGGAAUAAAAACUAGUUUCAAUAAUCACCACAAACUGUCAC